rnacentral:lncRNA from 1 species
AGCCGGCUUUGACAUUCUCAAUCUAAAGAGCACCAUAGUUGUGUCCCUCACGCACUACAAAAGGGCAUGUAGAAUAACAAAACCAACAUCAUCUGAUCCAAGAUAAUGAUAGUAGUACUGAAAUUUUGAGGCCCUAUCUUUAUACUUCGCAACAUAGGAAAUAAUUAGUACCGUACGGCUUAUUAAAAUACUCUCUGCUUCAUGAAAUAAUCAAAAAAUGCACUUAUUUAAGGCGGUCUAUCUUUUGGAACUAUUUCCCUACUUGGUUCAGGAGCCGAUGGACCUCAUCAUGUUUUUGCAUACAACAAAGUAGUUGGUGCCCUACUAAACAGGAGCUGGAGAAGGUUCUAUCCAGCAUCAGGGAGGACUUCAUUUUUUUCUAUAAUUCUAACAAGUAUUAUGUAAAAAAAAAAUAUUUUUCUUUUGAUCUGGCUGGCAUUUAAAAUGUUGAUUCAAUUCAUGUCGUAAUUUUAUUUAUUUUUCUGUCUUGCUCAGUAAAGCUUCCGUUUGUUAAUUAGACUAAAGCUUCCAUACCUUUUACAAAAGAAAACAAAUAACCUGAUGCUAACGUCUGUUAGUUUUCUAUAUGUGGAAGACAAAUAUGUGUGAACCUGCAUGAAAAUGGCUUCACAGAGGCGCGUCGAGGCCCUCCAGCAAUACAAGUGCGAACCAACUCCGUCUCAAAGAUAUGGUAUGGGGUUUGUGUCCAGUUUAGAAGAAACUAUUAAAGCAAAGGUCUGACCUUAACUAAAUCCUUAUGGUAAUAUGCAACACUGAGGUUGAAAUGCUAUCACUCUAUCAUCCAAUACAUGCUUUACCAUUAAAAAAAGAACUACCUUCUUCAUCUUGCAAGAUUUUACCACUGAACAUUUGGAGAUUCAUAGUGUAUUUCCAUGCAUACACAACAAACUUUUUCUGAAAUUUUAUUAUUAUUUAGUUUCAGUUGGAUUCCGGGCUAGAAGUUCCUUUGGAUUACGAAGAGUGACUGACGGAUAAGAUGUAUAGUAUUAAUAUAAUUUCAUAAUGAUAGAUAUGUUGUAAACCAGAUGUGACUUCUAUGUGUCUAAAGAAUUUGUCAUAAUAGCACAAGAAUAUGGGCACUUUGUAUACAACACAAGAAUAUGGGCACUGUUUGUAUUCUUAUUAGGAUUAAAAAUAAAAAUAACAGAAAUGAACAACGGAAACAUCAUACAUACAACAAAUUUAGAGUAUAUUUGAGAAACUUUUGGAGCGGGUGUAAUACCUCAUUCAUGUGAUCUCAUAAGCACCCUGAUUCCGCAUUCAUGUGAUCUCACUGAUGCUUCAACAUCAACAAAUACAAUGAGCAUAUAUCCUUUGUAACACCAACUGGAAUCUGUCGAUGGGAAACCUGCAGCAUUAUUAAACAAACAAUAAUUCUGAAAAAUGAAAUGUCCAACUGAAAAUGAGUUGGUGAUGUAUAUACUCUUUCUCAGUAACUAUAGAACCUGAUUUCUGAAUGAAGGGUGCAAGUAAGGAAUUAAUUUGUGCAUAAUGGAGUUGAAUCAGUCCAGCAUCAUAAGAAUAGCAGAAAAGAAAAGAUAUUAAAAACCACAUCUAAAAUGUAAUACCUGUGGGUUGUGGCAGUCCAUAUAUCCAGCAAGCAUUACCCUGCAUUUUUGUAUGAUAGACCAAUGUAAAUGAUGUGCACCCACACCUUUUUGACAUAGUCAAAACUGCACUAUAACAAGUAGAAAUUUUUAUGGCACUGCAUUAUUUUUAUAC